AUGGUGCCGUGGAGUGAUGGGUCGGAUAGCAACGAGCACACCAGGGAGUACAUGAGCUCAGCUUCCGACGACGGCACCAUUAAGGUUCCUGCUAGCACAGAAGACUCAGAUUUCGAGGGCCCUGAGACAGAUAUGUAUGUUUUGUGCCAUGGACACGGGAAGGUAGCAGAAAGGCGUGUUGCCUUCGAAGGGAUUCACACAGGCAGGAGGCUUCUUUGUUGUGCAAAGAAGGAAGGUAAAAACUAUGGACUAGUAGAGUGGAUUGAUCCAUCUUGGCCCAAUACCCUUGAGAAUGCACUAUCCAAGCUAUGGUCUAUGUAUGAACAGACUAAGAUAGACAGGACUGAGGAAUAUCCGAUGCAUUCAUUUGUUGUUCAUGACCUGACACAAGAGAAGAAGAAACUCCAGGCAGCCUAUGAGAAGUUGGUUGAAGAUGUCAAUGCACUUAUGGAUGCCCAAGAGCAGAGGGCGGUGAUACAAAGGAAAGAUGCUGAAACCACCAAGUUGCAGGAGAAGUAUGACACUGUGAAGAACAUAACAGCUGCUCAUGCUACUGUCAUUAGGAACAUGAAGUUGAAGCUAGCUGAAGAGAGGAAGAAUUUGCAGAUCCACAUUGAUGAGCUCAAGAAGACAGUUGAAGAGAGCAAUGUGAAGCUGGAGGGGAUAAAGGCCAUCAUAAAUGGAUAA
rnacentral:rRNA from 1 species